GGGUACGGUACCGGUACCCGCUACCGGUACCGGUACGGGGUACGUCAUUUUUAGAAAAAUUAAGGUACGGGUACGUCCUAUAAUUUUUUUAAAAAAAUAUAAUUAUAUAUAUAUCAAAUAAUAUAGUUAUAUUGUUAAAACAAAUAAUUAACCAUAAAAAAGAUCACACCACACUUUAAAUGUAAUUUAAAUUGUUCGAAACAUCAAAAAAUUAAAAACCAAUUAGCUCAAAAAGAGUCAAUUAUUUCCCUCUUCAUCAUCACUAAAAAGAGUGACCUCUAGUUAGGUUCACCGCGAGUAAGACUAGCAAUUUCAAGAAUAUCAACUAUAUAUUAAAUAAAUCUCAUUCAUCUCUACGAAUAUCAACUAUAUAUUAUAAACAAAUAAAAAACGUAAAUCUUCCUAUAAAAAGAAAACUAAUAAUAAAAAAAAAGGAGAAAAAAAAAAUCGUGUUUUUUUGGAUUGGUGUACCACGCGCGUACCACAGGUGUACCACGCGUGUACCCAUUGCAAAAAACAAACAAAAAAAUUAGGUACGGCGUCGGUGCGUACCGGGGGAGUACCAUACGCGUACCGGUACCCGGUACGUAUCCGGUACCGGUACUCGGUCUAAAAUGGAGUACCCAUGCAACAUAGAAU
rnacentral:lncRNA from 1 species